AUGAACGCUGGCGGCGUGCUUAACACAUGCAAGUCGAACGAGAAAGUCUCUUCGGAGACGAGUAAAGUGGCGAACGGGUGUAGAACACGUGAGAAUUUGCCUGUUAGUGAAGGAUACCUCCGAGAAAUCGGAGCUAAUACUGCAUACGUCCCUUCGGGGAGAAAGAUGGCCUCUUGCUGUCGCUAACAGAUAAGCUCGCGUCCUAUUAGCUAGUUGGUAGGGUAAAGGCCUACCAAGGCAAUGAUGGGUAGCCGGCCUGAGAGGGUGUACGGCCACAUUGGGACUGAGAUACGGCCCAGACUCCUACGGGAGGCAGCAGUGAGGAAUAUUGGACAAUGGGCGAAAGCCUGAUCCAGCGACGCCGCGUGGAGGAUGAAGGUCUUCGGAUUGUAAACUCCUGUUAAGUGGGAAGAAACGUCUACGAGUAAUAUGCGUAGAUAAUGACGGUACCACUAGAGAAAGCACCGGCUAAUCUCGUGCCAGCAGCCGCGGUAAUACGAGAGGUGCUAGCGUUAUUCGGAAUUAUUGGGCGUAAAGAGCGUGCCGGCGGCUUGUUAAGUCAGCUGUUAAAUUUCCCGGCUUAACUGGGAGUCAGCUGCUGAAACUGGCGAGCUAGAGUGCAGAAGAGAGAAGUGGAAUUAUCGGAGUAGCGGUAAAAUGCGUAGAUCUCGAUAGGAACACCGAUCGCGAAGGCAGCUUCUUGGUCUGUGUCUGACGCUUAAGCGCGAAAGCGUGGGGAGCAAACAGGAUUAGAUACCCUGGUAGUCCACGCCGUAAACGAUGAUCACUAGAUGUGGGACUUGCUUAGCGAGUUCCGUGUCGUAGCUAACGCGUUAAGUGAUCCGCCUGGGAAUUACGGUCGCAAGACUAAAACUCAAAGGAAUUGACGGGGGUCCGCACAAGCGGUGGAACAUGUGGUUUAAUUCGACACUACGCGAGGAACCUUACCUAGGCUUGACAUGUACCUGACAGUCGUAGAAAUACGAUCUUCCGGGCUUGCUCGGACGAGUACACAGGUGCUGCAUGGCUGUCGUCAGCUCGUGUCGUGAGAUGUUGGGUUAAGUCCUCUAACGAGCGCAACCCCUGCUGUCAGUUGCUAGUACUUCGGUACGCACUCUGAUGGGACUGCCUGGGAAACCAGGAGGAAGGUGGGGAUGACGUCAAGUCCUCAUGGCCUUUAUGCCUAGGGCCACACACGUGUUACAAUGGCUGGUACAAUGGGCAGCAACACCGCGAGGUGAAGCGAAUCUCAUAAAACCAGUCUAAGUUCGGAUUGGAGUCUGCAACUCGACUCCAUGAAGUUGAAAUCGCUAGUAAUCGCGCAUCAGAACGGCGCGGUGAAUACGUUCUCGGACCUUGUACACACCGCCCGUCACACCAUGAAAAUCGUUCACACCAGAAAUCACUUUAGCUAACCUCGAAAGAGGGGGCGAGUGCUGAAGGUGUGGAGGGUGAUUGGGGUGA
rnacentral:rRNA from 1 species